rnacentral:lncRNA from 1 species
CGCCCCAGGCCAGCCGGGCACCAUUCUGCGCACGGUUCCCAUGGGGGGGGUUCGCCUGGUGACUCCGGUCAGCGUCUCAGCCGUUAAACCCACCGUCACCACGCUGGUGGUCAAAGGCACAACCGGUCAGUGUCCGGCUGUCUGGAUGGUUGUCUGUCCCCGCGUCCGCCUGGCUGUCCAUCCCCGUGUCCAGCCGUCCCCAUAUCUGUCCCCAUAUCUAUUCCCGUGUCCCCCCACGUCCCCAUGUCUGUCUGGGUCCUCCCAGAUCUGUGGGGUCCUUCAGUGCCACGAGGUCCUCCCACGGGGUCCUCCAGUGCCACAUGGUCCUCCCACGGGGUCCUCCCAGAUCUGUAGGGUCCUCCCAGAUCCAUGGGGUCCUCCCACGGGGUCCUCCCAGAUCUGUAGGGUCCUCCAGUGCCAUGAGGUCCUCCCACGAGGUCCUCCAGUGCCACAGGGUCCUCCCACGAGGUCCUCCAGUGCCACAGCGUCCUCCCAAAUCCACGGGGUCCUCCCCCAGGGUCCUCCCAAUUCUACAGCCUCCUCCCCCGGAGGGUGGGAGGGAUUGGGGGGCCAUCCUCCCACUGUUCCCCCCACCCCCCCAACGACCCCUCCACGCCUCCCCCCCCCAAGGUGUGACGACGCUGGGCACGGUGACGGGCACGGUGUCCACCAGCCUGGCUGGCACCGGGGGUCCCGGCAGUGGCAGUGGCAGCAGCACCAGCAACAACAACAACAGCAGCAGCAGCAGCAGCAGCAGCAGCAGCGCCUCGUUGGCCACCCCCAUCACCACGCUGGGAACCAUCGCCACGCUGUCCAGCCAGGUCCUCAACCCCGCCGCCAUCACCGUUUCGGCGGCUCAAACCGCCGGCACCGCCGCCGCCGGGGCGCUCGGCACGCCAACCAUCACCAUGCAGCCGGUGUCGCAGCCCACCCAGGUGACGCUCAUCACCGCCCCCAGCGGCGUGGAGGCGGCUCAGCCGGUGCCGGAUCUGCCCGUCUCCAUCCUGGCGUCGCCCACCGCCGAGCAGCCGGCGGCCGACGGGGGGCAGAGCGACGGGACCCCCGGCACCGUCACCCUGGUCUGCUCCAACCCCCCCUGCGAGACCCACGACACCGGCACCACCAACACGGCCACCACCACCAUGGCUUUGGGCUCCCAGCCCCCCCAGGGGGGGUCCCAGCUCUGCUCAAACGCCCCCUGUGAAACCCACGAGACGGGGACGACCAACACGGCCACCACCACCAUGGCUUUGGGGUCCCAGCCCCCCCCGGGGGGGUCACAGCUCU